AGAAAACUGAGGCACAGAGAGGUCCAGUCACUUAUUCAAGGUCACACAGCUGGUAGAAGGCAGACCUGGACUGAAACCCAGGUCUGUGGGACUCUCUGAAUCUAUCUACAAGGCUGAGGCUUGUGCUGCCCCUCCAGGCCCUGUGCUAGAUGCUGGGGACAAAGAUCCUGUCCUGUGGGGACAUCCAGCGUCUGACUGAAACACUGGUGUGGAUCUCCCAAGGACAUGCCCCAAGAAACACACGUGCAGUCCAGAAUCUGUUUCCAGGAACGCAGGCUGAAAUACUUGUCACAGACAAUCCUGGCAUUGAAUGAGACCCAACCCAGGUCAUCCGCAGACUCAUCGUUCCCAGGCAGACUGAACCUCAAUACUGCUUACAGACGGAGCCUAGUUUCCACCCCAGUCUAAGCUCAGAUCCUAGUCCCAGACUGAGCCCAGGCCUCCCAUGGAAAGCAGAGGGCCAUUUGAGACAAAAUGAAGAGAGGCUGCGUGGGAGGUAGAAGACUGGGGUGUGGCUUACACUGAGAACUGAGCCAGACUCACCCGGUCAGCCAGGAAGUCAGAGUCACGGAAUCUCAAUUCAGAGAGGCCAUCAUUCCCUUCUGGGUGUCCCAGUUCCUAUCAUUGGAUGCUCAGAGUCAUCUCCAUAAGGUAGGCACUAUUAUGCAGACAUGGCACAGGUAAGGAAACCGAGUCCCCCAAAAGGGGAUCCCACUUGUCUGGGCUCACAGAGCUGAAACUCACCUCUGGAAUUUCUGAUCCUUGGUCUUCCAGCCUCUGCCGUUCUAUAUGGAAGAACAAAGGCCACUUCCCCGUGUGCUCCACACCACGGAUUCUUCAUGCAUCUGUCCAUCCACCCACACAGCAUCUCUGUGACAAGCAUCUUCUAUGCACCAGGUCUGGGCUGGGUGCUGGGGACUGAGUGGGGAACCAGAGGCAGAGCCUGACCUUGCGGAGUGUUCAGGCUGGCAGGGGAGCCACACAGUCAAUAAACGUGCUCACAAGAAAUGAAUGCAUCUCCAUGUG
rnacentral:lncRNA from 1 species